rnacentral:rRNA from 1 species
CGGUUAGUGGCGCACGGGUGCGUAACGCGUGGGAAUCUGCCCUUAGGUUCGGAAUAACUCAGGGAAACUUGAGCUAAUACCGGAUAAGCCCUUACGGGGAAAGAUUUAUCGCCGAAAGAUUGGCCCGCGUCUGAUUAGCUAGUUGGUGAGGUAACGGCUCACCAAGGCGACGAUCAGUAGCUGGUCUGAGAGGAUGAUCAGCCACACUGGGACUGAGACACGGCCCAG